UCAAACCGGAAGAUGAGCUGUAUUUUACAAAUCUCCUUUUCCUUUUUGGAAGAUAUAGUUAUCUACUUAUUCAAAAAGGAAGAAAAAUGAUCAAAUUGUACGAUUGUAAGGCCAGUUAUGAACUCUUUAGAACAUCAAUGUGCAACAUUUAUUAGCAUCAUUGACAGAGCAUAGCAAAGUGCUUAUAUGGAAUCAUGGAGUUGCGGAUAUUAAUAUUAAUUUUGAUUUUCCCCAUGAAAGCAACAGAAAAUCUAGAGAAGCAGUUCAUCUACGUAGAAAAGGAAAUGACAUGGACUGAAGCACUUGAUUAUUGCAAACGGAAUAAUUCAGUACUGUCUGCCCUCAGCCACAAAGAUUUAACAUUUAUAAGGACGUUUAACCAAAGAACUGAAGAGUUAUGGACAAGUUCUUAUGUAUAUGCAACCCCUUAUAUAUCAAUAAUACGUUGCUUCCGAAAUACAACAAGCUUAAACUUCUCGAGUUUAAUGAAUCCCUCGAUACUGGAUUGUUAUGAUAUGUGUUCCUCUUCAUCUGUGCUUGCUAUCAUGGAUAAUGAAUGCGCUUGUUCAGACGAUAUCUACAUGCCAAUUUAUGUGGCAUUCCAUGUGAUGGUACAUUUUUCUGUGGAGGGAAAGACACCAUGAAUGUGUACUCUGUCGUUGAAGACUUUUUCAAUAAAAUACAAUACAAAGCAAACCAAGACUUCACUUCUUGUAUGUCAUACCAGUGUUUAAAAAACGAAUAUCUCUACAAGGAGGUGGACUGUAGCUUUGAAAAUGUUACAGAGGUAGCUUGUAGUACUUUUUUUUCUUGCACAUUUGAACUUGGAGAUCCAUGUUUUCUAUUUCAAGCAAAAAACGAUGACCUUGAUUGGACAAUUACUUCCGGCAACACAACAAUUGGACCACAGAAAGCUUAUCAAGGGUCAAACUAUGCAUUUGUUAACGACAGCAGUGGUGACUAUAAACCACAAAGUCGAG